CCUACGGGGCGCUGCAGUGAGGAAUAUUGGUCAAUGGACGAGAGUCUGAACCAGCCAAGUAGCGUGAAGGAUGACUGCCCUAUGGGUUGUAAACUUCUUUUAUAUGGGAAUAAAAUGUUCCACGUGUGGGAUUUUGUAUGUACCUUAUGAAUAAGGAUCGGCUAACUCCGUGCCAGCAGCCGCGGUAAUACGGAGGAUCCGAGCGUUAUCCGGAUUUAUUGGGUUUAAAGGGAGCGUAGGUGGAUUGUUAAGUCAGUUGUGAAAGUUUGCGGCUCAACCGUAAAAUUGCAGUUGAAACUGGCAGUCUUGAGUACAGUAGAGGUGGGCGGAAUUCGUGGUGUAGCGGUGAAAUGCUUAGAUAUCACGAAGAACUCCGAUUGCGAAGGCAGUUCACUGGACUGCAACUGACACUGAGGCUCGAAAGUGUGGGUAUCAAACAGGAUUAGAUACCCGGGUAGUC
rnacentral:rRNA from 1 species